UUCUAGGCUUUUGUGUUCUUAUCAUGAAACCCAGCUAUGAUUAUCGUCUCCCCAUCGAUACAUAAUUUUAGGGUUGUUCUUCUCCUAUCUCUGAAAUCAACGAUGGAGAUCCGAGAUACCAGCAAUGGAGUUUCGAGAUAUUCAAUUGACAUGAAGCGUCUCUGUUGUUUGGAUCUUCAAACCCGGCGUUUUGCCUUCUAUUCUAAUCAAUCGAAACGCUUAUCCCAACGAAUACAUCUCAAUUGUUAGUGAUGUUCUGUUUGGGCUUGAACUGAAACUCAUCAGGAUCUACAUCUGUCGGCGUAAUCCUUUCUUCCCAAAGACUCGCCGAAACAGUUUCAAGGCCAUCUCCGACAACGUCAUAAGCCUUAUAAUACCACCACCAGAGAAUCUCAUCCGCUGACUGUUACCGAGUGUGUUGUGACAUAUCCCGGUGGAUCAUAGUAGUCAUGUCUUAUCCUUUCGUUUCCCGUACCGGCGGAAUACUGGGGACAUUACGCAAGUCCGUUGAGUUCGAACGUCGUCUUUAACGCCAUCACUAACAACAGUUUCCCACUCCUCUAAUUCAAUGGCUCUCUCAUUGCUUCGAUAGAGCAAAACUACCUUCUGUUAAAAUGAGGACAUGGCCGUUUCUUCUGCUGCGACCCUUGCGGAUGCUCAGUGUAUGGAGGCUGCUGAAGUGAUAAGAGCUUAUAGAGAGAAUUUUGCAUCUGUUGUCAACGCCCCCAUCAAUGUUCGUUCUACCAGAGAUAUCUAACACUCACUGCCGGUGUAGCCACAAGUUUUGUAGCUUCAAAAAUCUUUAUUUUUGGCAUCUUAGGUUUUUAAAAAGAUUGAUUUUAAUGAAGAAACUCAAUUCUUUUGAUUUUAUGUGAGACAUGCUUAAUACUGACAAUGUAAUCGAUAUUGCUAAAGUUCUUUUGAUGUAUAGUAUUUAAGAACAGUUUAUUAGCUCAAAAUUGGAGCUUUAUGAAGGGAUUUAAGUUAAUGUUUGGGUGUUUGGUGUAGUGUUAAGAGGAGUGGCCACAUUGAAAGUGAGGGCUAUGAAAGAAGUUUGGAAAAUUGCAUCAGUGAUUACAGGAUACAGAACUCAUUACUUUUGAAGGAUGCAGCAACAUUAGUAAUGGUAGCAAUGGAAUCUCGAGUUGUAGUCACAGUAACUAACUUAUACAAGAGAAUAAUUUCUUGGUAAUUGCUUGCAUGGAAUGGCUUGCAAGAGGCUGUCAACUUCUCAAACGUACUUGCCAAGGUAAUGAAGAUUAUCAUUUCUUUUUGGUUUAGUGUACUUUUCAGCUCUUGGAUAUUUUUCCUUAUGCUUUGUUGCUUUUGAAAGUGAUCUCCGCUGGAAAAUAGUUCAUGGAUGUGAAUUUUGUUAUAUGGAAACACACAUAGAUAUUUCAAAUGGCAGGAUAAGAAGAUAUUUCAAAUGGCAGGAUAAGAAGAGAAAGCCUUAAACAAAGCUAAAGCUUAUAAAGAAGUGUAUGUUAUGACACUGAUGAUGAUAAUGAAUUUAUGGGAUCCACUUAUGUCUAUUACUCGAGCAUUUUCUUCGAGAAUCACCAAGAUGAAAGACUGUAAAAGUGUUUUCUUUUUUUUGAGCAAAACUGGUGGAAGGUGGCAAGAAACGAUGCAUGGUCAAUUCUACCAUUUGCUAUCAUUGCAACAAUUUGUAUUUAUUCAGAGUAAAUGUAGAAUAUCACUCAGCGGAUAUAAAGUUUCACUUUGGAGCAUCAAUCGCAUUUUUUGUGAUCAGGAAACAAGUUAUUAGA